AUACUUACCUGGCAGGGGAGAUACAAAAAAAACGAAGGUGGUUUUCCCAGGGCGAGAAAAAAACAUUGCACUCCGGAUGUGCUGACCCCUGCGAUUUCCCCAAAUGUGGGAAACUCGACUGCAUAAUUUGUGGUAGUGGGGGACUGCGUUCGAAAAAAACCCUGA
rnacentral:snRNA from 1 species